rnacentral:rRNA from 1 species
AACGCUGGCGGCGUGCCUAACACAUGCAAGUCGAACGGACUUACAUUGAAGCCUAGCGAUAUGUAAGUUAGUGGCGGACGGGUGAGUAACGCGUGGGUAACCUGCCUUGUACUGGGGGACAACAGUUGGAAACGACUGCUAAUACCGCAUAAGCGCACAGCUUCGCAUGAAGCAGUGUGAAAAACUCCGGUGGUACAAGAUGGACCCGCGUCUGAUUAGCUGGUUGGUGAGGUAACGGCCCACCAAGGCGACGAUCAGUAGCCGGCCUGAGAGGGUGAACGGCCACAUUGGGACUGAGACACGGCCCAAACUCCUACGGGAGGCAGCAGUGGGGAAUAUUGCACAAUGGGGGAAACCCUGAUGCAGCAACGCCGCGUGAGUGAAGAAGUAUUUCGGUAUGUAAAGCUCUAUCAGCAGGAAAGAAAAUGACGGUACCUGACUAAGAAGCCCCGGCUAACUACGUGCCAGCAGCCGCGGUAAUACGUAGGGGGCAAGCGUUAUCCGGAUUUACUGGGUGUAAAGGGAGCGUAGACGGUUUUGCAAGUCUGAAGUGAAAGCCCGGGGCUUAACCCCGGGACUGCUUUGGAAACUGUAGGACUAGAGUGCAGGAGAGGUAAGUGGAAUUCCUAGUGUAGCGGUGAAAUGCGUAGAUAUUAGGAGGAACACCAGUGGCGAAGGCGGCUUACUGGACUGUAACUGACGUUGAGGCUCGAAAGCGUGGGGAGCAAACAGGAUUAGAUACCCUGGUAGUCCACGCCGUAAACGAUGAUUACUAGGUGUUGGUGGGUAUGACCCAUCGGUGCCGCAGCAAACGCAAUAAGUAAUCCACCUGGGGAGUACGUUCGCAAGAAUGAAACUCAAAGGAAUUGACGGAAGG